UGAGGAAUAUUGGUCAAUGGACGAGAGUCUGAACCAGCCAAAUCGCGUGAAGGAAGACUGCCCUACGGGUUGUAAACUUCUUUUGUACAGGAAUAAAAGACAUUACGUGUAGUGUAUUGCAUGUACUGUACGAAUAAGCAUCGGCUAACUCCGUGCCAGCAGCCGCGGUAAUACGGAGGAUGCGAGCGUUAUCCGGAUUUAUUGGGUUUAAAGGGUGAGCAGGCGGGAUUUUAAGUCAGCGGUGAAAUUUUCAGGCUCAACCUGAACACUGCCGUUGAAACUGUGAUUCUUGAGUAUGGAUGAAGUAGGCGGAAUUCGUUGUGUAGCGGUGACAUGCUUAGAUAUAACGAGGAACUCCGAUUGCGUAGGCAGCUUACCAAGCCAUAACUGACGCUCAAGCACGAAAGCGUGGGGAUCAAACA
rnacentral:rRNA from 1 species